UUUAAAGCAGGCUUAGGCUACAAAAAGAUUUCCCAAGCCUUGAACAUCCCACAGAGCACUGUUCAAGCCAUCAUUCAGAAAUGGAGAAUUGAGGGAGCCAGUGGAAUGUUAAACAGUGAUUCACCAUCUGCAGGAAAUGAGACAAAGGAAAUCCGCAAUGUCAUGUCACACACAUUGACAAGACACUCCUCGGCCACGUCUAGCAUUGUUCCAGUUUUUGUGUCAUUGGCAGAAGAUCCCCACAGAGAGAUUCUCACAUAUGCACUGCUCAACACACAGAGCGAUUCAACUUUCAUCUUGGGAGAUCUGGUCUCUGCACUAAAUGUGAGGACUCAGCCAGUGCAAUUAAAGCUCAGUACAAUGACAGCAGUAGACACAGUCAUAGCUAGUAAAGUAGCUUGUGGAUUGCAAGUUCGUGGGCUCCAUAGUGAGUCGCAUAUUCAGCUACACCAGGCAUACACAAGAGAUUUCAUCCCAGUCAAUAAGUCUCACAUUCCUACAAAGGACACCGCACUUCAGUGGCCACAUCUGAGGCAACUGGCAAACAAGCUGCAGCCACUUCAAGACUGUGAAGUGGGAUUGCUGAUCGGCUAUGAUUGCCCAUCAGCACUGGCCCCUCUAGAAGUUAUUGUAGGGUCAGAAAACCAUUCAUUUGCUCAAAGAACUGUGCUUGGCUGGAGCAUCAUAGGGUCAGCAAAUCCAUAUCUUGAUAGAAAGGAACAUCAGAGCUUUGUGCACAGAGUGGCAGUAAAGGAAAUGCCAUUGCCCCCGGUCAAUGAUGUGUUAAAGGUCCUAGAAAUGGAUUUCAGCGAAAGAAACUACCAAGAUAAAUAUGUUUCUCAAGAUUAUGUUCAUUUUGUAAAACUCCUCGGCAGCACAAUCACAAAAAGGAAGGAUGGACACUAUGAGAUGCCACUUCCUUUCAAGGGCAGCUCUCCACCCAUGCUGCCAAACAACAAGCGACUGGCUGAAGCUCGUUUGCAACACCUCAAGAGGAAGUUAAGGUCCAACAAGCAGUACCAUGACCAUUACACAGCAAUCAUGGAGGAAACCAUCAGCAAGGGUGUUGCAGAACCAGCCUCCCCUGCACAUGAGGGAGAGACAAUUUGGUACAUCCCACAUCAUGGGGUGUACCAUCCUAGGAAACCAGAUAAACUUAGGGUGGUCUUCGACUGUUCAGCCAAGUUUCAGGGCAUCUCUCUGAAUGACACCUUAUUGACUGGCCCUGAUCUGGUAAACUCUCUAGUAGGAGUUCUCUGCCGCUUUAGGAGGGAAGCAGUAGCCAUCACCUGCGACAUUGAAAAAAUGUUCCAUCAGUUCUAUGUCCCACCCAACAUGCGGAACUACCUGAGGUUCCUAUGGUGGAAAGGCGGUCAGCUGGAAACAGAACCCCAAGAGUAUAGAAUGGCGGUGCACCUUUUCGGUGCUGGUUCCUCUCCAGGGUGUGCCAAUUUCGGCCUUAAAUAUCUUGCACAGCAAAGCGAAGCCGAUUAUCCUUCGGCGGCUGCUUUCAUUGAAAAGAACUUUUACGUUGAUGAUGGACUAACUAGCGUCCCAUCAGUCACAGAAGCUACAGACUUGAUUAUCAACGCACAACAGCUGUGUAAGACUGGAGGUUUACACUUGCACAAAUUUAACUCGAACAAGGUGGAGGUGCUAUCUGGUGUUGCGCCUUCAGAAAGGGCAGUAACCACUGGGCCUCUCAACCUUAGCCUGGAUUCAACAGCAGAGGGUCACGUACUUGGCAUUCAGUGGUCAAUAGAAAGUGACACGUUCAGCUUCAACAUUGACAAAAGGGAUCAACCCUCAACUCGCCGUGGCAUCCUGUCUGCUGUUUCGUCCCUCUACGACCCUCUUGGUCUCGUAGCUCCCUUUAUCCUGAGUGGUAAAUGUAUUCUCCAGGAGCUGUGUCGCAUGGGCAUAGGUUGGGAUGAUCAGCUUCCCGAUAGCCUACAUUCACGGUGGGAGCAAUGGAAAAGGGAUCUACACAGGCUAAAGGAAAUAGUGAUACCCAGAUGCUACCAUCCUCCAGACUUUGGCAACAUAGUGAGAGUGGAACUACACCACUUUUCCGACGCCAGUAACAUAGGUUAUGGUGCAUGUUCCUACCUCAGAUACAAAAAUGGAAAGGAUGAAGUACACUGUAGCCUUGUGUUAGCCAAAGCAAGAGUUGCACCAACAAAGCUCAUGAGCAUCCCAAGGCUGGAGCUUUCGGCUGCAGUAAUCUCCGCAAGACUAAGUGUCAUGUUAAAAACAGAGCUCGGCAUGCAGAUUGACGAGGAAUUCUUUUGGACUGAUUCCCAAGUUGUAUUGGCCUACAUCAGCAAUGAGGCACGGCGAUUACAUGUGUUUGUCGCAAAUCGUGUUCAGCUAAUCCGAGAAACAACAGACCCUGCUCAGUGGCACUAUGUGGAUACGGCAGAAAACCCAGCUGACCACGCUUCGAGAGGUCUUUGUGCAGGGGACAUUCUGUCAACGAACUGGUUAUUGGGUCCUAAAUUUCUAUGGAAACCUGAGAUACACCCAACACUACAUUUUUCACCAGAUUUGCUAGUCUAUGACCCUGAAGUUAAAUCGGUGAAAACCUUUGCCACCCAUGCCAAUGAGCAAAAUGACAUUCUGAACCGUCUAAGCCGCUUUUCCAGCUGGACAACGCUCAUUAGAGUAGUUGCAAGAAUUAAGAGACUAGGCAUGAAGUCAGAUCGUGUCAGCAGCAUUGUGACGGUGGAGGAAAGGAGAAAGGCUUGUGAGCUAGUAAUCAGUCUGGUUCAGCGACAAGCAUUUUUGCAAGACAUAAAGACACUUCAGAAGGGCAACUCUCUUCCAUGCUCUAGCCCCCUAAGCUGUCUUGAUCCCAUCUUAGAUGAAGGACUACUUCGUGUCGGUGGAAGACUGACAAAGGCAACGCUCAGUCGAGAACUAAAACACCCGGUCAUCCUUCCAAAGGAAAGUCACAUUACAAGACUAAUACUGUCUCAUUACCAUGCCACCAUCUGUCAUCAGGGUCGCAGUCAAACUCUAGCAGAACUCAGAGCAAAUGGGUUUUGGGUGCUUGGGGGAAGCAAAGCAGUUGCCAAGUUAAUACAUAAAUGUGUGCAAUGUCGAAAACUUCGGCGCCCCACCGAGGAGCAACGCAUGGCAGAGCUCCCGAAAGAAAGGACUGAAGCCUCCGCUCCUUUCUCGUACUCUGGUAUGGAUUGUUUUGGUCCAUUUUCCAUCAAGCGGGGCCGCAAGGAGUACAAAAGGUAUGGGCUUAUCUUUACAUGCAUGUCUUCACGUGCUGUCCAUAUCGAGAUGCUAGAAGACCUAUCAACAGAUGCAUUCAUCAAUGCCCUUAGAUGCUUCAUCAGCCUCAGAGGAGCUGUUUGCCAACUCCACUGUGACCAAGGCACAAACUUUGUAGGAGCCAGAAAUGAGUUCAGAGAGGCUCUCAAACAAUGUGACAUGCAGGCACUGGAGGCUUUCCUGGCAGACAAACAGUGUGAGUUCGUUUUCAAUGCUCCUUCUGCAAGUCAUGCUGGUGGCAUCUGGGAACGCCAAAUUAGGACCAUUCGUAAUGUGCUAAAUGCCACUACCGCUCAGUGUGCAGGAAGACUAGACGAUGCCUCUCUUAGAACUUUGUUUUAUGAGGCCAUGGCUAUUGUAAAUAGCUGCCCUUUGACUGUGGGCAGUAUCUGUGACCCAAAGGCACCUGAACCUCUUACUCCGAACCAUCUUAUACUGAUGAUGUCCAAAGUUGCUCUACCACCACCUGGGAAAUUUGUGAGAGAAGACUUGUAUGCAGCAAAGAGGUGGCGUAGAGUACAAUACUUAACUGAGCAGUUCUGGGGUAGGUGGAAAAGAGAAUACCUCAUGAAUGUCUCCACAAGACAGAAGUGGCACAAAACCCGGCGUAAUCUAAAAGUGAAUGACAUUGUUAUCAUCAAGGAAGAUAUGUUACCAAGGUGUCAGUGGCAACUGGGACGUAUUGUUGAAACUAUCGAAGGCGAUGAUGGUUUAGUCCGUCGGGUCAAAGUUCAAAUAGGAGUCCAAAGUCGGACCAAGAAACUGGACCGUGCUUUCAAGCCCCCCAUUAUCGAGCGGCCUAUUCAAAAACUGGUGGUUCUUGUUGAAAGAGAAUAAUAACAACCACGUUAUUAUCUGAGAGGAACUGACAUGCUGACAUAAACAAUGUAACAGUCCAGGUGGCACCUGCUCUAUGAUGUUUGUAUACCUGUAUAUUGGUUGAAGUGGUUUCAUUUGUUGUUGUUCAAAUCAUGUAUGAUUAGCUAGUUUGUAAAUCAUAGCAUGAUUGGUGGGAGUGUAAUGAACCGCUGAUCUGUACCUUAAGUCAUCCUUGCGGGGGUUGUCGGAACUGGAUGCGCAGUCGCACUAAGGACAGAUGUGCUCAGAGGCAUGCCCCGUAACAUGUAUGGACAUGUAAACAGUCUGUCGCGCGAAGAGAAUAAGUUGUACAAAGUCCAUGUAAGUUACGAUAAUACUUUGAUAAGUAUGAUAAGUGUGUUUCCAAUGUACAGUAUGUUGCUGCGUUUGUAUUGUGAGCUAUCUGGAAACCUUUUUGUUCUGUACUUACGUUACUUACAUCCAUGUGCUAUUUUUUAGCUUAGACAUGUGUGUCAUGCAAGCUAGCAGCACCCCAUGAGAAACGGGCCGAAGUGUUUAAGUGUUCACCGGAGUUUGCACCCUUGGCAAGCGGAAUGAGUUUUCACGGUGCUCAAUGUCCAGAGAAUGAGCCGUGUGUGGUGAGGAAAUAAAUGGCUGCACCCGUUAGAGACUCUUCUGUC